rnacentral:rRNA from 1 species
UACAGAGGUCUCAAGCGUUGUUCGGAUUCAUUGGGCGUAAAGGGCGCGUAGGCGGCGGGGUAAGUCGGGUGUGAAAUCUCAGAGCUCAACUCUGAGACUGCACUCGAUACUGCUCUGCUUGAGGACUGGAGAGGAGACUGGAAUUCACGGUGUAGCAGUGAAAUGCGUAGAUAUCGUGAGGAAGACCAGUGGCGAAGGCGGGUCUCUGGACAGUUCCUGACGCUGAGGCGCGAAGGCCAGGGGAGCAAACGGG